GCGGGAUUAGUUCAGUGGUAGAAUGCGUCCUUGCCAAGGACGAGGCGCCAGUCCGAUUCUGGUAUCCCGCU
rnacentral:tRNA from 1 species